rnacentral:rRNA from 1 species
GCCUAUGGCUAUACCACCCUGAAAGCGCCCAAUCUUGUCUGAUCUCAGAAGCCAAGCAGUGCCAGCCCUGGUUAAUACUUGGAUGGGAGACCACCUGGGAAUAUCAGGUGUCGUAUAAC